rnacentral:lncRNA from 1 species
AUGGAAGAGAUAGAGAUGGUGGUGAUGGACAAGGGGAAGGAGACGUCGUCAUCGCAACGGAACAGAAUAUCACCGACGAGGAGAAGACUGCUGCCGCUGCUCGCACACAGAGGAAGAGGUACACACCACACACACACAGAGAGGAGAGGUACACACACACACACACACACAGAGGAAGAGACACACACACACACACACAGAGGAAGAGACACACACACACACAGAGGAAGAGACACACCACACACACACACACACAGAGGAAGAGACACACACACACACAGAGGAAGAGACACACACACACACACACACACACAGAGGAAGAGACACACACACACACACACACAGAGGAAGAGACACACACACACACACACACACAGAGGAAAGAGACACACACACACACCACACACACACAGAGGAAGAGACACACACACACACACACACACACACACACAGAGGAAGAGGUACACACACACACACACACACACACACACACACACAGAGGAAGAGGUACACACACACACCACACACACACACACACGGAGGAAGAGGUACACACACACACACACACACACACACACAGAGGAAGAGGUACACACACACACACACACAGAGGAAGAGGUACACACACACACACACACAGAGGAAGAGGUACACACACACACACACACAGAGGAAGAGGUACACACACACACAGAGGAAGAGGUACACACACACACACAACACACACAUAGGAAGAGGUACACACACACACACACACAGAGGAAGAGGUACACACACACACACACACACAGAGGAAGAGGUACACACACACACACACACACACACAGAGGAAGAGGUACACACACACUACAGACACACACUACACACAGACAGGAACUCACUUGUCUAGAGAAAAGCAGACAAACAGAUGUACACACACAUACAGGAACACGAACACACCCUCAAACGCACGCGCAAACACACACACACACACACGCAAAUACACAGAUGGUUAGCACAGAACAGGGGAGGGUUUAGUAUUGGGUAUCUAGGGGAGGGUUUUAGUCUAGGGGAGGGUUAGUAUUGUGUAUCUAGGGGAGGGUUUAGUAUUGUGUAUCUAGUCUAGGGGAGGUUUAGUAUUGUGUAUCUAGUCUAGGGGAGGGUUUAGUAUUGUGUAUCUAGUCCAGGGAGGGUUUAGUAUUGUGUAUCUAGUCUAGGAGAGGGUUUAGUAUUGUGUAUCUAGGGGAGGGUUUAGUAUUGUGUAUCUAGUCUAGGGAGGGUUUAGUAUUGUGUAUCUAGUCUUGGGGAGGGUUUAGUAUUGUGUAUCUAGUCCAGGGGAGGGUUUAGUAUUGUGUAUCUAGUCCAGGGGAGGGUUUAGUAUUGUGUAUCUAGUCUAGGGAGGGUUUAGUAUUGUGUAUCUAGUCUAGGGGAGGGUUUAGUAUUGUGUAUCUAGUCCAGGGGGAGGCUUUAGUAUUGUGUAUCUAGUCUAGGGGAGGGUUUAGUAUUGUGUGUCUAGUCUAGGGGAGGGUUUAGUAUUGUGUAUCUAGUCUAGGGGAGGGUUUAGUAUUGUGUAUCUAGGGGAGGGUUUAGUAUUGUGUAUCUAGGGGAGGGUUUAGUAUGGUGUAUCUAGGGGAGGGUUUAGUAUUGUGUAUCUAGGGGAGGGUUUAGUAUUGUGUAUCUAGGGAGGGUUUAGUAUUGUGUAUCUAGUCCAGGGGAGGGUUUAGUAUUGUGUAUCUAGUCUAGGGGAGGGUUUAGUAUUGUGUAUCUAGUCCAGGGGAGGGUUUAGUAUUGUGUAUCUAGUCCAGGGGAGGGUUUAGUAUUGUGUAUCUAGUCUAGGGGAGGGUUUAGUAUUGUGUAUCUAGUCUAGGGGAGGGUUUAGUAUUGUGUGUCUAGUCUAGGGGAGGG